GCCUGACCAGCCAUGCCGCGUGCAGGAUGACGGUCCUAUGGAUUGUAAACUGCUUUUGCACAGGAAGAAACACUCCGACGUGUCGGAGCUUGACGGUACUGUGAGAAUAAGGAUCGGCUAACUCCGUGCCAGCAGCCGCGGUAAUACGGAGGAUCCAAGCGUUAUCCGGAAUCAUUGGGUUUAAAGGGUCCGUAGGCGGUCUUGUAAGUCAGUGGUGAAAGCCCAUCGCUCAACGGUGGAACGGCCAUUGAUACUGCAGGACUUGAAUUAUUGGGAAGUAACUAGAAUAUGUAGUGUAGCGGUGAAAUGCUUAGAGAUUACAUGGAAUACCAAUUGCGAAGGCAGGUUACUACCAAUGGAUUGACGCUGAUGGACGAAAGCGUGGGUAGCGAACAGGAUUAGAUACCCUGGUAGUCCACGCCGUAAACGAUGGAUACUAGCUGUUGGGAGCAAUCUCAGUGGCUAAGCGAAAGUGAUAAGUAUCCCACCUGGGGAGUACGAACGCAAGUUUGAAACUCAAAGGAAUUGACGGGGGCCCGCACAAGCGGUGGAGCAUGUGGUUUAAUUCGAUGAUACGCGAGGAACCUUACCAAGGCUUAAAUGCAGACUGACCGAUUUGGAAACAGAUCUUUCGC
rnacentral:rRNA from 1 species